AUUUGUUAAUUAAUUGAAUUUAAAUAAAACUAAAUAAAUAAAUAUUUCAAUGAGUAUCCUUGAACAUAUAUGUUUAUUCAUAUUAAUUAUUCCCCAAGAAUAGUGUAUUACUUUCCUAGGGCUGCCAUAACAAACUACCACAAAGUGGGUUGCUUAAAAUAUAAGAAAUGUACUGCCUCACAGUCUGGAGACAAGGAAUUCAAAACCAAGGUGUUAGCAGGGCCCCGAUUCCUCUGAAAUUCUUCCUUUUUUAUUCUAUCUUGUGUUGUUUGCUGUCAAUCCUUGAUAUUUCUCGGUUUAUACAGUGGUAUGAGACCCCUUAUCCAUGGUUUCAAUUUCUGUGGCUUUAGUUACCCAUGGUCAACUGCCUUCGGGAAGCAGAUGAUCUUCCUGACUGAUCCUGGGAAGGUCCAUAUUGCCCAGCACUACAUCAUAUGCCUGCGUCAGCCCUCAAAGUCGUCUUAUUAUGUCAGCGAGGUAUCGUCUCACAUCACCACGAGAAGUCUCUCCAUAUCCAAAGUCUGUAACAGAGACACUUCUUCCCAAGACCAUGAGCUGAAGUGUGGAAGGGGUCUCAAACUGAACUGAGCAGGGAUCAAAAGAUACAUGGGUGCCGUGAACCUAAAUUCCUUGAGUCCUCUGAGAGCAAGGCCAUGGCUCAGAAAAGCUCCACAGUCAAUGGCAAAAACCCACCCUAUGGUGACCUGGCCUGCAGGGUGACAAGCUGCAGAGUCACUAUGACCAUCAGAGAAAAGAGAUUUACCAAGAAAAGUGAUGAAGCCAGGGAGAUGCCUUCCACUCUGGAUUUGGAGCUAUCAUGCUGGGCCCUGCAGAACCCCCCGCACUGUCUCCUUCACCCAUAGAAGACUACAGAAUCUAAGUGGGCUUAUAGAGCACUCCAGCAAAGUUGGGAUGUCUCUGAAGACUGUCUUGGAACAUUUUUGUUCUUUCUUUCCUCUCAAUCACUGCUGAGUGGUGUUUUUCUUCACUUAUGCACUUAGAGAAAUCUUUGGUUUUUCAAGUCAAGUCUCUGAAGUAUGUCCACAUUUGAUCUUUAAUUUGUGUCAUUCUAUAGAACGCUGUCAGUUGUAUUUGAAUUUAAAAAAAAUUGCUGCCAACCUAAUAUAAUGGAUAGGAUACUGGAUCAGAAGAUGGGCGCCUGGGUGGCUCAGUGGGUUAAGCCACUGCCUUUGGCUCAGGUCAUGAUCUCAGGGUCC
rnacentral:lncRNA from 1 species